rnacentral:misc_RNA from 1 species
GAAAUGCGAUAAGUAGUGUGAAUUGCAUAAUUCAGUGAAUCAUCGAAUCUUUGAACGCACAUUGCGCCCCUUGGUAUUCCAUGGGGCAUGCCUGUUCGAGCGUCAUCUACACCCUCAAGCUCUGCUUGGUGUUGGGCGUCUUUGUCCCGCCUCCGCGCGCGGACUCGCCCCAAAUUCAUUGGCAGCGGUCCUUGCCUCCUCUCGCGCAGCACAUUGCGCUUCUCGAGGUGUUGCGGCCCGCGUCCAGAAAGCAAUCGUUACCGUCUUUGACCUCGGAUCAGGUAGGGAUACCCGCUGAACUUAAGC